rnacentral:lncRNA from 1 species
GUUUUUAUUGAAUCUUCACAAGAACCCUGUGAAGGGAAUGCUUUUAACUUUUUGUAAGCCUUUUAAUUAAAGCAUAGUGUAACAUACGUAGAAAAAAAUUAACAAAUCUUAAAAGUACAGCUCUAUGUUUGUUUGUUUUUUUCCAAUGUAACUAUUAUCCAGGUGAAGAUACAGACAUUACCAGCACACUGGAAACCUCCCGUGAGGGCGGUAUUCACGUUCCAUUUUACAGCUUGGACAGACUCAGCCCGCUGAAAGUAUCCUGAUGGAGACAUGCAGUAAUUUUUCAGAAGAAGAUAGAGCCAGGCAUUUCUGCAGAGGCAACAACAUGAAAAAGGGUUCAGAGUCUCUCAUCUUCAUCCUGAGGUUGACCUCCUCAUGAUUGCAAAAUGGUUGUGGCACUUCUCAUCUACAUGUCAGCUACCACCUUCUCCACAGAACUAAUUUCUGGGACCUCUCUCAAAUGACCUUCCCCAAGAUUAUCAGAAACUGCCUGUAGCCUCCUAUAAACCCAAACCAAGUCACAAGAUAAGAAUACAAAAGCAUGAAGAAGUUAGUUUCAAAAAAGAGCUAAAAAGGAAUUCUGGGAAUGGAACAUGAUGUAGCAGUGAAAAGGAAUUAACUACUUCCAUGAUCAAGAGCAUAAAUAAAUUUCUCAAACUCAAUGUUGAGUGAAAUAAA